UUUCAUGGCUCUUUUCUUCUUUCACUGCUAAAGCAGAAGAAAAUCACUUGGUAAAACUGAAUAGUGUUCUAUCACGGAAGGUGCGGCAAUGGUGUAGGCGUACGGAGCAUUACGUGAAGCAAAGCUCGAGCUGCGACCUUGAACAUGCAGAUCAGGUUAUUUUUAGGCUAUGACGACUCGCCGCACCCGUGCAUGUUGGGCAUGCAGCGAGGUCGCCGCUAUAUAAAUGGGGAGGAUGUGUAAAGAGGCAGCAGUCUUCGCAUCACUUCGGGGGUGUGCGGAGCUCGCUUCAAGAUGCCUAGAUGCGUGUUCUGCAUUUUUGAUCCUCAUGAUAUCGGGGAUGAUGAGCCAUUGGAAGAGAAUUCACCAUCUUCUCCAGACAUUUCACCUGCCACAGUGCAUGCUCACGUCGAGCGAUCACAUCCCUAUGUGGACAUUUCCUUCCUGCCUAUCUUUCAAACUGAUUGCACAU